UGCCUAAAUAAAUUACUGAGGAGCCUGCGAUUUCGGUAAGCGGUUGUAAUGGAUGGCAACGUGAACUUCUUCUUAUUGGAAUAUAAUGGACCACAUUAAUGUCUUUUACUCAUAUCGGUUCAUUGCCGCCUCUGUGUUGCCGCGUAUAAACGAAUGCAAAAGCGAUGCAAGUUUUUACUCACGAUCGGCAGUUUUUCGUAGAGUCAGACUGCAGAAUAUUUUCAGUCAAAAUGCAGACAUACAUUAAAUUAGAAAGUCAACGAAAGUUUUUAAUUGAUCUCUCGUCCUCUCCUGCUUCCUAUUUCUGUAAAAACCUCUAUUAUCCCACCUGUCGAUUACCCUCUUCCCAGCAAGUGAGGGCUCAGGGACUAUAGAGACCCAUUUCCACAUUAUUUUGCUCAAGAUCUCGUGUAAUACCCUCUCAAAUAUAACGCUUCCUCGUUCUAGGACAUUUCUCUCUAUUAAAACACCAAGUCUGCCUCUUCACCGAUCACAAGAAGAACACGUGUAUUGAUUACAUAAACUUCAAGCUAAUUUACUUCAUUUCGGCAAAAUCAAUACAAGCCAUUACCCUCCCCCUCCUUUUAGACCAUCAAAUUCGGGGAGGAGGGGUGUUGGCUUCUGUUGCUUCAGUAGAGGAUCUACAGUAUUACUAUUGGGACUAUUAGCUACAGGGACUGAAGGACUUUCGUGGGACAGAAGGAAGGUUUAUAGAAGUAAACUGGGAAUACGUUUAUAUUUACCCAGU